CCUCAGCUUGGCUAACCUAUUUGGAUAUCUAAUAGAGGAAAAGAAAAGGAGAGAGAGAUAAAUUUAGAAAUAUCAGUGAUGAGAGAGAAUCAUUUGCAAAUAGAGAUGUCAUAGAAGACUGGAACUGGUGAUUAUUAAACCUACCAGAGUGUUUGACACAGAGAUACCAGCCAUUGGAGGAGAGUCCAUCCUAAUCUGCUGUGACCUAAUUUUAAUGACUUACAUCAAAAAGGCCCUAAUGCCAAAUAAGGUUAUAUUUUGAAGUUCUGGGUAGAUGUGGAUUUAUAGAGGACACCAUUCAGACCAGUAUAAGGAUUAACACAUAAUAUGUAAAACACAAAAACAAAAAAGAGCAUCAGUGUGAAUUCUUAUUUGCUCUGAGGAUGGAACACUUUCUACUGGGAGAAUUAAAAAAAGUGAUGUACACAUUUCACAAUAAAUACAUUUUAAA